GAAACCUGAGCCAAAGCCCGAACCUAAGCCUGAGCCAAAACCCAUGCCCGAGCCAAAACCUGAACCAAAACCCAUGCCCGAGCCUAAGCCGGAACCUAAGCCUGAGCCAAAACCUGAACCAAAACCUAAGCCCGAGCCAAAACCUGAACCAAAACCUAAGCCUGAGCCAAAACCCAUGCCCGAGCCGAAACCUGAACCAAAACCCAUGCCCGAGCCUAAGCCUGAGCCAACACCCGUGCCCGAGCCAAAGCCGGAACCUAAGCCCGAGCCGAAACCCAUGCCCGAGCCAAAACCCAAGCCCGAGCCCAAGCCGGAACCCAAGCCCGAGCCGGAACCCAAGCCCGAGCCGGAACCCAAGCCCGAGCCAAAGCCGGAACCUAAGCCCGAGCCAAAGCCGGAACCUAAGCCCGAGCCGAAACCCAAGCCUGAGCCAAAGCCCGAACCGAAGCCAAAGCCCGAGCCAAAGCCGAAGCCGGAACCUAAACCCGAGCCCAAGCCUGAACCAGAGCCGAAGCCGUAUCCUAAGCCGGAAC
rnacentral:lncRNA from 1 species